rnacentral:rRNA from 1 species
AUUGAACGCUGGCGGCAUGCCUUACACAUGCAAGUCGAACGGCAGCACGGGAGCAAUCCUGGUGGCGAGCGGCGAACGGGUGAGUAAUAUAUCGGAACGUGCCCAGUCGCGGGGGAUAACGUAGCGAAAGCUAUGCUAAUACCGCAUACGACCUAUGGAUGAAAGCGGGGGAUCGCAAGACCUCGCGCGAUUGGAGCCGCGGAGAUCAGAUUAGGUAGUUGGUGGGGUAAAGGCUCACCAAGCCGACGAUCUGUAGCUGGUCUGAGAGGACGACCAGCCACACUGGGACUGAGACACGGCCCAGACUCCUACGGGAGGCAGCAGUGGGGAAUUUUGGACAAUGGGCGCAAGCCUGAUCCAGCAAUGCCGCGUGCAGGAUGAAGGCCUUCGGGUUGUAAACUGCUUUUGUAUGGAACGAAACGGCGAGCUCUAAUACAGUUUGCUAAUGACGGUACCGUAAGAAUAAGCAUCGGCUAACUACGUGCCAGCCGCCGCAGUAA